GCGAACGUGGCGGAAUUGGCAGACGCACUAGAUUCAGGUUCUAGCGGGGUAACACCCGUGAGGGUUCAACUCCCUCCGUUCGCA
rnacentral:tRNA from 1 species